AGAGUUUGAUCAUGGCUCAGAACGAACGCUGGCGGCGUGCUUAACACAUGCAAGUCGCGUGCGCAGUUUCCGUAGCAAUACGGGGAUGGGCGCACGGCGCACGGGUGCGUAACACGUGGGCAAUCUGCCCUCCGAUGGGGAAUACCCCCGCGAAAGCGGGACUAAUUCCGCAUAACAUUCCUUGGAUUAACUUUCGAGGAUUCAAAGCAGCAAUGCGUCGGAGGAGGAGCCCGCGCCCGAUUAGCUAGUUGGUGAGGUAACGGCUCACCAAGGCAAUGAUCGGUAGCUGGUCUGAGAGGAUGGCCAGCCACACUGGAACUGAGACACGGUCCAGACUCCUACGGGAGGCAGCAGUGGGGAAUCUUGCACAAUGGGCGAAAGCCUGAUGCAGCGACGCCGCGUGGGGGAUGAAGCUUUUCGGAGUGUAAACCCCUUUCGACUGGGACGAAUGCCUCGCAAGAGGAGUGACGGUACCAGUAUAAGAAGCCCCGGCUAACUACGUGCCAGCAGCCGCGGUAAGACGUAGGGGGCCAGCGUUGUUCGGAAUUACUGGGUGUAAAGGGUUCGUAGGCGGUGUGGCAAGUCGGGAGUGAAAUCUCUGGGCUCAACCCAGAGACUGCUUCCGAAACUGCUGUGCUUGAGUGUGAGAGAGGCUCGUGGAAUUGCAGGUGUAGCGGUGAAAUGCGUAGAUAUCUGCAGGAACACCCGUGGCGAAAGCGGCGAGCUGGAUCACUACUGACGCUGAGGAACGAAAGCUAGGGGAGCAAACAGGAUUAGAUACCCCAGUAGUCC
rnacentral:rRNA from 1 species